GUAAUUUGACCAGUCAUGAUGCCUUAUGCAGAGAGUGUUGUUGGCUAUGAGACGAAGAUCGGCCCGCCGUCUUCAGUACAUCAUGGUCGCUAUCGACUCGGGCUUGUUGUCAGAUCAAGGAAGUGACCAUCGGUCACGUCGCACUGCAUCUUGGGUAAUUUGGGUAUGCAUAGUAAGCUCAUGAUGCAUACUCAACAUUUCUGGCGAAUGCAGUAUGCAUCCGGGAACUUCUCGCAUACUCAAAAAUCGCAUCCUGCCAGUGUAGACACACUGCAUACUCAAAUAGUUAGUAUGAGUAGUAGGAUAUGGAAGCCAUACAUUGAUCACAUGGACACUCUCAAUUUGCAACAGGAAGACCCGGACUUGAUGUAGUUUUACUGCCCUGGAGGAGACUCAUCGAAAGCCUCACCAUUGUCCUUUAUUGUUAUUAUUUCAUUUUAUUUCAUUUCAUUUUAACUUUAUUUGUGUGUAUGUUCUUGUCUUGUUUCGUUCACCCGAUGAAUGUGUGUGGGUAGGUGGGAGGAGGAGGGCU